rnacentral:rRNA from 1 species
UAUGACGUGCCAGCAGCCGCGGUAAUACGUAGGGUCCAAGCGUUAAUCGGAAUUACUGGGCGUAAAGCGUGCGCAGGCGGUUGUGCAAGACCGAUGUGAAAUCCCCGAGCUUAACUUGGGAAUUGCAUUGGUGACUGCACGGCUAGAGUGUGUCAGAGGGGGGUAGAAAUUCCACGUGUAGCAGUGAAAUGCGUAGAGAUGUGGAGGAAUACCGAUGGCGAAGGCAGCCCCCUGGGAUAAACACUGACGCUCAUGCACGAAAGCGUGGGGAGCAAACAGGAUUAGAUACCCUGGUAGUCCACGCCCUAAACGAUGUCAACUAGUUGUUGGGGAUUCAUUUCCUUAGUAACGUAGCUAACGCGUGAAGUUGACCGCCUGGGGAGUACGGUCGCAAGAUUA